rnacentral:rRNA from 1 species
UACGUAGGGGGCUAGCGUUAUCCGGAAUUACUGGGUGUAAAGGGUGCGUAGGUGGUUUCUUAAGUCAGAGGUGAAAGGCUACGGCUCAACCGUAGUAAGCCUUUGAAACUGGGGAACUUGAGUGCAGAAGAGGAGAGUGGAAUUCCUAGUGUAGCGGUGAAAUGCGUAGAUAUUAGGAGGAACACCAGUUGCGAAGGCGGCUCUCUGGACUGUAACUGACACUGAGGCACGAAAGCGUGGGGAGCAAACAGG